rnacentral:sRNA from 1 species
CAGCCCACCCCACCUCUGGGACAGGGGAGACCCUAGGAGCUAACCCCCACUUCCUUCUCUCUGCAGGACCUAUUUCCCAUUUUCCUGCUCUUGCCUGAACCAGUUAUUGGCUGUGGUUUCGAAAUGGUGAGGUGGGCAAGAUGGCUGGGUGGAGUGUCCCCAUAGAGACCUACUGCUGCCCUUCUCCCAUGUCCCCUCUCAUCAUCACCUCCCACGUCCCCACCCCACCCCCAGGCUGAUCAUGAGGAAGAGUCUGAUCCGACACUUGGAGGAGCGAGGGGUGCAGGUGGUCUUUUGGUGCCUUAAUGAAGAGUCGGAUUUUGAAGCAGCCUUCAGCGUGGGAGCCACUGGCGUCAUGACGGAUUAUCCCACAGCCCUGCGGCACUACCUGGACAACCAUGGACCAGCUGCCCGGACCUCCUAAGUCCAGAAGCCUCGAGCUCUCCUGUUUCUCUUCCUGAAAAAUAAAUAUUUGCCUUUCGAUCA